GCGGAAGCGGCCUUUCUGGACAGUACUGACGCUGAGAUGCGAAGCGUGGGGAGCAAACAGGAUUAGAUACCUGGUAGUCACGCUGUAACGAUGUCGAUUUGGAGUUUGUUGCUAGAGUGAUGGGCUCCGAAGCUAACGCGAUAAAUCGACCGCGUGGGGAGUACGGCCGCAAGGUUAAAACUCAAAUGAAUUGACGGGGGCCCGCACAAGCGGUGGAGCAUGUGGUUUAAUUCGAUGCAACGCGAAGAACCUUACCUGGUCUUGACAUCCAUAGAAUUCUGCAGAGAUGUGGGAGUGCCUUCGGGAACUAUGAGACAGGUGCUGCAUGGCUGUCGUCAGCUCGUGUUGUGAAAUGUUGGGUUAAGUCCCGCAACGAGCGCAACCCUUAUUCUUUGUUGCCAGCGAUUUGGUCGGGAACUCAAAGGAGACUGCCGUUGAUAAAGCGGAGGAAGGUGGGGACGACGUCAAGUCAUCAUGGCCCUUACGACCAGGGCUACACACGUGCUACAAUGGCGUAUACAAAGGGAAGCGAAGGUGCGAGCUGGAGCGGAUCUCAUAAAGUACGUCUAAGUUCGGAUUGGAGUCUGCAACUCGACUCCAUGAAGUCGGAAUCGCUAGUAAUCGUAGAUCAGAAUGCUACGGUGAAUACGUUCCCGGGCCUUGUACACACCGCCCGUCACACCAUGGGAGUGGGUUGCACCAGAAGUAGAUAGCUUAACCGCGAGGGGGGCGUUUACCACGGUGUGAUUCAUGACUGGGGUGAAGUCGUAACAAGGUAACCA
rnacentral:rRNA from 1 species